rnacentral:rRNA from 1 species
AUUGAACGCUGGCGGCAUGCCUUACACAUGCAAGUCGAACGGCAGCACGGGAGCAAUCCUGGUGGCGAGUGGCGAACGGGUGAGUAAUAUAUCGGAACGUGCCCAGUCGUGGGGGAUAACGCAGCGAAAGCUGUGCUAAUACCGCAUACGAUCUACGGAUGAAAGCGGGGGAUCGCAAGACCUCGCGCGAUUGAAGCGGCCGAUAUCAGAUUAGCUAGUUGGUGGGGUAAAGGCACACCAAGGCGACGAUCUGUAGCUGGUCUGAGAGGACGACCAGCCACACUGGGACUGAGACACGGUCCAGACUCCUACGGGAGGCAGCAGUGGGGAAUUUUGGACAAUGGGCGCAAGCCUGAUCCAGCAAUGCCGCGUGCAGGAUGAAGGCCUUCGGGUUGUAAACUGCUUUUGUACGGAACGAAACGGCUCCUUCUAAUACAAGGGGCUAAUGACGGUACCGUAAGAAUAAGCACCGGCUAACUACGUGCCAGCCGCCGCCGUAAGAC